rnacentral:rRNA from 1 species
GACGUAGGGCGCGAGCGUUGUCCGGAUUUAUUGGGCGUAAAGAGCUCGUAGGCGGCUUGUCGCGUCGGCUGUGAAAUCCCGUGGCUCAACUGCGGGUCUGCAGCCGAUACGGGCAGGCUAGAGUGCAGGAGAGGCUAACGGAAUUCCCGGUGUAGUGGUGAAAUGCGUAGAUAUCGGGAGGAACACCAGUGGCGAAGGCGGUUAGCUGGCCUGUAACUGACACUGAGGCGCGAAGGCUAGGGGAGCGAACAGG